rnacentral:rRNA from 1 species
UACGUAGGGCGCGAGCGUUGUCCGGAAUCAUUGGGCGUAAAGAGCUCGUAGGCGGCCGGUUGCGUCUGCUGUGAAAUCCCGGGGCUUAACCCCGGGCGUGCAGUGGAUACGGGCUGGCUGGAGGCAGGCAGGGGAGAAUGGAAUUCCCGGUGUAGCGGUGAAAUGCGCAGAUAUCAGGAGGAACACCGAUGGCGAAGGCAGGUCUCUGGGCAUUAACUGACGCUGAGGAGCGAAAGCAUGGGGAGCGAACAGG